ensembl:lncRNA
AUGCUGCAAUAGGUUGCACUUGUCCAGUAACACAACUUACAGUAGACUGCCAGGGUGCCAGGGAAAGAUAACUCAACAUACAGAUGAAAAUUAAAAUGGACAACAUACUUUUUCCAUUUCCCUGUCUCAUUGUACUUUUGGGUCUGGUGUUGACUUCUAUGACUACAGCCCAAAACAACAUAACUACCACAAUCAGUCCCACUAAACUCAUCAAUCACACCGGAAACCAGGUAAACUCAACCAUCAACCCAGUUGAUACAGCACAAAGCAAUGAUACCACCACAACUCUGCCAACAAAUUCAGGCAGUCCUAACACCACCACAGAAAAGGAUGAUGACAAAAGCACCAACAUCUCAACAACCACAUCCCAGCAGUUGACACAGAAUGGCAAUACUUCACAUCCCUCAGGAGGAAUCAGGUCCACAACUCCUGCUGGAAGCACCAAGGACAAAGAAUUGGGUCAUACCAAAACAACAACAACGACAACUGUGCCAACAUUAGUUCCUACCACAAGUGCCCAUCGAAAUUCCACAAAAUCCAAGAUCUGGCUAAUCAUCUUGAUUAUCAUCAUUGCUGUGGUUCUUGUAAUAGUAUUUGUCCAAAUACGCAAGAAGUUGAAGAGGAAAUCGAUGGAUCUGCCAAGCAGACAGGAGGAUGUCCCUCUGAGUACUCACGAUCAUGACGUCGCGUUUGACAGCUCUCCGGCACCGAAGGAAAUGCAGACCUUUACGGCUGUGGACCUCGACAGCACUGAAGCCCUGGUUGAGGAUUCACCUGGAACAAAGGAGGAUGGUGGGAACAGCUCCGACCUCCCCCCGCCGCCAGGCUCUGUGGACAAACCCCAUGACGUGGCCCCGACUAAACUGGCCCCUGAACACGGGGCCCUGGGGGUCCCAGAAGGGGAGACUGAUGACGAACUCGCCGUCUCCAAUAAGACCUCGGUGGAGUCAGUGGCGGUCAACGAUGACAACAACAACAACAACAACAACAUCAGGAUGCCAGUGACAACGAGAGAUUGAAGAAAAAACAUGAAGUCAAAGGUAAAUUGACCCUAUGGAUAGAAGUUAAUAUGCAGUAGCCUAAGGGGAUCCUGAUUCUACAUAAUAUACUGAAUAUUUCUCUAGUCCUAUGCUCAGCCCGGCUCCACUCAUUGUGUAAACUAAAUGCUAUUUCUAGAACAACAAUAUCUUGUGUUGUUGAAAACAUUGUCAAAUAAAUC